UUCCUAAACUGUCCGCCAACUAGGAAC
rnacentral:piRNA from 1 species